rnacentral:rRNA from 1 species
GAUGAACGCUGGCGGCGUGCCUAAUACAUGCAAGUCGAGCGAACAGACGAGGAGCUUGCUCCUCUGACGUUAGCGGCGGACGGGUGAGUAAAACGUGGAUAACCUACCUAUAAGACUGGGAUAACUUCGGGAAACCGGAGCUAAUACCGGAUAAUAUAUUGAACCGCAUGGUUCAAUAGUGAAAGACGGUUUUGCUGUCACUUAUAGAUGGAUCCGCGCCGCAUUAGCUAGUUGGUAAGGUAACGGCUUACCAAGGCGACGAUGCGUAGCCGACCUGAGAGGGUGAGCGGCCACACUGGAACUGAGACACGGUCCAGACUCCUACGGGAGGCAGCAGUAGGGAAUCUUCCGCAAUGGGCGAAAGCCUGACGGAGCAACGCCGCGUGAGUGAUGAAGGUCUUCGGAUCGUAAAACUCUGUUAUUAGGGAAGAACAAAUGUGUAAGUAACUAUGCACGUCUUGACGGUACCUAAGCAGAAAGCCACGGCUAACUACGUG